GUCUAGCCCAGAUUGAAAUGACAUCCUUUUUUCUUUUUCAGAAAAAAGAUAUAAUGGAAAGCUGGAAAAAGC
rnacentral:sRNA from 12 species